UAUUCAGUUGUAUUAGCCCAAUAUUGACUUGGUGAAAAGUGCAUCGAUGUGAUUGAGUUGUGAUGUAUGACAAUUGAUGACAAAUGAUCGUGAUCCAUGUGAAGUGUUUCUCCUCGUGUCAAAAACACGAUUUGUUGACUAAUCAUAAAGCAGGGGAGAAAGAAAAGUGCUUUAUAGGCCAUCUGUGAGAUCCAAAUUGUGUUCAUCAGUACAGAGU
ensembl:lncRNA